rnacentral:rRNA from 1 species
UACGGGGGGGGCAAGCGUUGUUCGGAAUUACUGGGCGUAAAGGGCACGUAGGCGGAUCGUUAAGUCGGGGGUGAAAUCCCCCGGCUCAACCGGGGAAUAGCGUCGGAUACUGGCGAGCUCGAGGUCGAUAGGGGUAAGUGGAACUCCAGGUGGAGCGGUGAAAUGCGUAGAUAUCUGGAGGAACACCGGUGGCGAAGGCGGCUUUCUGGUCUGUAACUGACGCUGAGGCGCGAAAGCGUGGGGAGCAAACAGG